UACGAAGGGGGCUAGCGUUGCUCGGAAUCACUGGGCGUAAAGGGUGCGUAGGCGGGUCUUUAAGUCCGGGGUGAAAUCCUGGAGCUCAACUCCAGAACUGCCUUUGAUACUGAAGAUCUUGAGUUCGGGAGAGGGGAGUGGAACUGCGAGUGUAGAGGUGAAAUUCGUAGAUAUUCGCAAGAACACCAGUGGCGAAGGCGGCUCACUGGCCCGAUACUGACGCUGAGGCACGAAAGCGUGGGGAGCAAACAGG
rnacentral:rRNA from 1 species